rnacentral:rRNA from 1 species
AGAGUUUGAUCAUGGCUCAGAUUGAACGCUGGCGGCAGGCCUAACACAUGCAAGUCGAACGGUAACAGGAAGAAGCUUGCUUCUUUGCUGACGAGUGGCGGACGGGUGAGUAAUGUCUGGGAAACUGCCUGAUGGAGGGGGAUAACUACUGGAAACGGUAGCUAAUACCGCAUAACGUCGCAAGACCAAAGAGGGGGACCUUCGGGCCUCUUGCCAUCGGAUGUGCCCAGAUGGGAUUAGCUAGUAGGUGGGGUAACGGCUCACCUAGGCGACGAUCCCUAGCUGGUCUGAGAGGAUGACCAGCCACACUGGAACUGAGACACGGUCCAGACUCCUACGGGAGGCAGCAGUGGGGAAUAUUGCACAAUGGGCGCAAGCCUGAUGCAGCCAUGCCGCGUGUAUGAAGAAGGCCUUCGGGUUGUAAAGUACUUUCAGCGGGGAGGAAGGGAGUAAAGUUAAUACCUUUGCUCAUUGACGUUACCCGCAGAAGAAGCACCGGCUAACUCCGUGCCAGCAGCCGCGGUAAUACGGAGGGUGCAAGCGUUAAUCGGAAUUACUGGGCGUAAAGCGCACGCAGGCGGUUUGUUAAGUCAGAUGUGAAAUCCCCGGGCUCAACCUGGGAACUGCAUCUGAUACUGGCAAGCUUGAGUCUCGUAGAGGGGGGUAGAAUUCCAGGUGUAGCGGUGAAAUGCGUAGAGAUCUGGAGGAAUACCGGUGGCGAAGGCGGCCCCCUGGACGAAGACUGACGCUCAGGUGCGAAAGCGUGGGGAGCAAACAGGAUUAGAUACCCUGGUAGUCCACGCCGUAAACGAUGUCGACUUGGAGGUUGUGCCCUUGAGGCGUGGCUUCCGGAGCUAACGCGUUAAGUCGACCGCCUGGGGAGUACGGCCGCAAGGUUAAAACUCAAAUGAAUUGACGGGGGCCCGCACAAGCGGUGGAGCAUGUGGUUUAAUUCGAUGCAACGCGAAGAACCUUACCUGGUCUUGACAUCCACGGAAGUUUUCAGAGAUGAGAAUGUGCCUUCGGGAACCGUGAGACAGGUGCUGCAUGGCUGUCGUCAGCUCGUGUUGUGAAAUGUUGGGUUAAGUCCCGCAACGAGCGCAACCCUUAUCCUUUGUUGCCAGCGGUCCGGCCGGGAACUCAAAGGAGACUGCCAGUGAUAAACUGGAGGAAGGUGGGGAUGACGUCAAGUCAUCAUGCCCCUUACGACCAGGGCUACACACGUGCUACAAUGGCGCAUACAAAGAGAAGCGACCUCGCGAGAGCAAGCGGACCUCAUAAAGUGCGUCGUAGUCCGGAUUGGAGUCUGCAACUCGACUCCAUGAAGUCGGAAUCGCUAGUAAUCGUGGAUCAGAAUGCCACGGUGAAUACGUUCCCGGGCCUUGUACACACCGCCCGUCACACCAUGGGAGUGGGUUGCAAAAGAAGUAGGUAGCUUAACCUUCGGGAGGGCGCUUACCACUUUGUGAUUCAUGACUGGGGUGAAGUCGGAACAAGGUAACCGUAGGGGAACCUGCGGUUG